rnacentral:rRNA from 1 species
AGCGAACGCUGGCGGCAGGCCUAACACAUGCAAGUCGAACGAACUCUUCGGAGUUAGUGGCGGACGGGUGCGUAACACGUGGGAACGUGCCUUUUGGUUCGGAAUAACUCAGGGAAACUUGUGCUAAUACCGAAUGUGCCCUUCGGGGGAAAGAUUUAUCGCCAUUAGAUCGGCCCGCGUCUGAUUAGCUAGUUGGUGAGGUAACGGCUCACCAAGGCGACGAUCAGUAGCUGGUCUGAGAGGAUGACCAGCCACACUGGGACUGAGACACGGCCCAGACCCCCACGGGAGGCAGCAGUGGGGAAUAUUGCGCAAUGGGCGAAAGCCUGACGCAGCCAUGCCGCGUGAAUGAUGAAGGUCCUAGGAUUGUAAAAUUCUUUUACCGGGGACGAUAAUGACGGUACCCGGAGAAGAAGCCCCGGCUAACUUCGUG